AAGUGAGCCUUUCCCUCUUGCCCUGCAGAACACAGUGGGCAACAGCUGUGCUAUUCAGCAUUGCCCAGUCAUCUUAUAGCUAGAGGCAGCGAACCGGCAGAGGGAUGGAAGUGAUCACAUGACAGUGGCACGCUGUGAACUACUAACCAACUCACUGAAGGCAGCCGAUAUCCAUGGCCAGAAGUGAUGGACCUAGUGGAAACUGGCAGAAGUGCAUUACAUGGGAUGACCUGCCACCAAACCUGGCGGCUUCAAGACAGGUAAAGUACACCUGAGGUGGAACUGACCUAGAUCACAGGAUUUCCAUCAUCUCAUGAUCAUGUGUACCUGAGAUGCUGUAGAGAAAGUACACUUCCCAACUGGAAGCAGAUGGGAACACAGCCAUUUCUUGAGAUCAGAGAGACCUUUUUUAUGGAUCUGCAUACAUAAGACUGCUUACUUAUUUACCUAUGUUGACAAUUUGUAUACCACUUAAUCACAGUCCCCUCUAUAGGGUGUACAGGAGACUCGGCACAAUGAAACUAAAAAUGAGUUCAAACAAGAAAAU